rnacentral:rRNA from 1 species
CCUACGGGAGGCAGCAGUGAGGAAUAUUUGUCAAUGGGCGCGAGCCUGAACCAGCCAAGUAGCGUGAAGGAUGACUGCCCUACGGGUUGUAAACUUCUGUUAUGAAGGAAUAAAUUGAGGCACGUGUACCUUUUUGUGUGUACUUGAUGAAUAUUGAUCGGCUAACUCCGUUCCUGCAGCCGCGGUAAUACGGAGGAUCCGAGCGUUAUCCGGAUUUGUUGGGUUGAAAGGGAGCGUAGAUGGGUUGUUAAGUCAGUUGUGAAAGUUUGCGGCUCAACCGUCACAUUGCAAUUGAUACUGGCAGUCUUGAGUAAAGUUGAGGUAGGCGGAAUUCGUGGUGUAGCAGUGAAAUGCUUAGAUAUCAAGAAGAACUCCGAUUGCGAAGGCAGGUUCCUAAACUGCAACUGACAUUGAUGCUCGAAAGUGAGGGUAUCAAACAGGAUUAGAUACCCGGGUAGUC